CCUGGUGGGCGAGGACGUCUUUGGGGGCAGGGACUUUGGAUGUGUCUCGAGGAUGAGGUCAACCCGAAGGGGUUUCUUGAGAAGCAGUGACUUCUUCUGGACUUUGGUUCUCUUCUUAGCCCUUUUUCCUUGGAGCCGGUGUCCACGAAGAAGAGUUUUUCAUUUGGGGCCUCUCUCAACAAGCCACCGCUCAUGCGCCCCUGUAGCCGCACGUCUUCCAGGAACUGGUCAACCUCCAGCCCCAGCGGCUCCUGCGCAAGCCUCCGCCAGUCCCACUUCUUAUUUCUUGGGCCUCGCCGCCGCCGCCGCCUCAGCGCUGGGUCCGCCGAAAUGGGCCGCAGCCCCAGGAAACCAGAAUCGUUAUCGCUUUUCGAGCUGUGCUUCCCACCAACGCCACUGCCUCCUGCCGCCAUCUUGUCAAAGGCCCUCCUCUAUCUUAUUUCUUACUGCUUCCUUUUCUCUUUUGAAAUAUAUACAUUUUAAUCUAUUAUAUCAAGUUACUUAAAAAUAUCUACCAGAAACAUGAAAAAUGUGCUAUGAAUAGUAAAAUUUGGCAUAACACUGAGUUCAUUAAUUCACAAUGUGGAUCUCCUUUAUAUAACAAAUAAAUACAAGAAUAUGUAACAAAUAAGAUAUAACAAGAUACAAGACUAAGAGAUGAGCAGCCAUGGUGGGAAAGAGGUAUCUCAUAUGUAUUCACGGGAAGGCGAGAUUUUGAAGGAUUAGAAAAGUUGUUGAAAUGGAACUGAUAACGUAAGAAAGGAGUCACAUUCCAAGCAAAAAUCCCACU
rnacentral:lncRNA from 1 species